UCCCUCCAUAGUCUCUGCAUCAGCUCCUGCUUCCUGACCUACUUGAGUUCCAGUCCUGACUUCCUUUGGUGUUGAACAACAACAUGGAAGGCGGAUGCCCAGGGAACACAUUCAAUGGACAGAGAGGAGAAAGGACUCUGCCCUUUCAUCUGAACAGCGUAACACGGCACACAUCAAUCCUACAGCCCAUUAACCUCAGACCCUGUGUAAUCUACUCAUCAUUUGAAGGAUGGCUACACCCAAGUGUUCAUUUCCUUGUGAGAAUAAGGAAGAGGAACCAAAUCGAACCCUGAAAGCAUCUUUAAGAGGAACCACCUGUCUCAACAUAAGAGCUCCUUCAGGACCAUGACUGCGUAGAUGCUGCCAUCUCCCCACCUUGUUGAUGAUGUACCGAACCUCUGAACCUGUAAGCCAGCCCCAAUUAAAUGUUGUUCUUUAUAAAAGUU